UACGUAGGGGGCAAGCGUUGUCCGGAAUCAUUGGGCGUAAAGCGCGCGUAGGCGGCCCGGUAAGUCCGCUGUAAAAGUCCAGGGCUCAACCCUGGAAGGCCGGUGGAUACUGUCGGGCUAGAGUCCGGAAGAGGCGAGUGGAAUUCCUGGUGUAGCGGUGAAAUGCGCAGAUAUCAGGAGGAACACCGGUGGCGAAGGCGGGUCUCUGGGCCGAUACUGACGCUGAGGAGCGAAAGCGUGGGGAGCGAACAGG
rnacentral:rRNA from 1 species